rnacentral:tRNA from 1 species
GCCCUAGUAGCUUAACGCCUCAAAGCAUUGGUCUUGUAAACCAAAGAUUGAAAUUUAAAACAUUCCUAGAGCU